AUCCCUAUAGCGCAAUGGAAAGCGCGUUGGACUUCUAAUCCAAAGGUCGUUGGCUCGAAUCCCACUUGGAAUG